rnacentral:rRNA from 1 species
UACGUAGGGUCCAAGCGUUGUCCGGAAUUACUGGGUAUAAAGGGUGCGCAGGCGGAUCUGUGCGUCGGAGGUUAAAGACCCGGGCUCAACCCGGGAAGUGCCUUCGAUACGGCAGGUCUUGAGUGUGAGAGAGGAUAGUAGAAUUCCUGGUGUAGCGGUGAAAUGCGUAGAUAUCAGGAGGAAUACCAGUGGCGAAGGCGGCUAUCUGGCUCAUAACUGACGCUUAGGCACGAAAGCGUGGGGAUCAAAC